CCCCAGCCCGGGAGAAGAAAGCUGAUGUUUCCCCCAUUACCGGGGGGCAUCUUAGGCUCCUAGCAAAGACUCAAGUACAAACUCCAGGGCCCUGUGGAAGCCAGGUUUUUGGUUCCUUAAAAUCAACAGACCUUGACAAAAAGCACCUAAAACUACCAUAAAAUCAGCAUGUAUAUAUAUCUGGAAAGAACCCGCAAGAUCAUCCAUUCUGAGCUCUUCAUUUUAAGAGGAUGCCUGAGGCCCAGAGACGUAGCCUCAACCUGGAAACACCAGAAGAAUGGAUAAACAAGCCAAAGCCUAUUCAUGGAAGAGAAUACAACGCAGCGAUCAAAAGACAGGAAAAUCAGAGAU